rnacentral:rRNA from 1 species
UGGGGAAUUUUGGACAAUGGGCGCAAGCCUGAUCCAGCCAUGCCGCGUGAGUGAAGAAGGCCUUCGGGUUGUAAAGCUCUUUUACCAGGGACGAUAAUGACGGUACCUGGAGAAUAAGCCCCGGCAAACUUCGUGCCAGCAGCCGCGGUAAUACGAAGGGGGCUAGCGUUGUUCGGAUUUACUGGGCGUAAAGCGCGUGUAGGCGGGUCGUUAAGUUGGGGGUGAAAUCCCGAGGCUCAACCUCGGAACUGCCUUCAAAACUGGCGACCUGGACCUAAGUAGAGGCAAGUGGAAUUGCGAGUGUAGAGGUGAAAUUCGUAGAUAUUCGCAGGAACACCAGUGGCGAAGGCGACUUGCUGGACUUAUGGUGACGCUGAGACGCGAAAGCGUGGGGAGCAAACAGGAUUAGAUACCCCAGUAGUCCCUGAGCGGGCUGGCAAGGCGCAU